rnacentral:ncRNA from 1 species
GUGGAGUUCAGCCACCAAGUGUGUGAUUGUUCACCAACUAACAGGGAACGUGAGCUGGGUUUAGACCGUCGCGAGACAGGUUAGUUUUACCCUACUGCAUCGCGUCCGAGAGUAGGUCGGGGCAGUACGAGAGGAAGUGCCGAUCAGAACCGCUGGUGAUACUUUCGUCUGUUAAGGCGCGAAGUGUAGCUACGUUCUUCUUAUAAUAGCUGAAAGCCUCUAAGCUAGAAUGAGUACUUAAGGACGCAAAGAUAUGAAGACUACAUAUGUAAGGAUGAGGGUUGUACGAUAUAAGCUUCUGCGAGUAUUUCAGACCACUUAUUUCCUUUUUUAGAACAUGCUUGCUC